rnacentral:rRNA from 1 species
GUGAGUAACACGUGAGUAACCUGCCCCAGACUCUGGGAUAAGCCUUGGAAACGAGGUCUAAUACCGGAUACGCAACUCCAUCGCAUGGUGAGGGUUGGGAAAGUUUUUCGGUCUGGGAUGGACUCGCGGCCUAUCAGCUUGUUGGUGAGGUAAUGGCUCACCAAGGCGACGACGGGUAGCCGGCCUGAGAGGGCGACCGGCCACACUGGAACUGAGACACGGUCCAGACUCCUACGGGAGGCAGCAGUGGGGAAUAUUGCACAAUGGGCGCAAGCCUGAUGCAGCGACGCCGCGUGGGGGAUGAAGGCCUUCGGGUUGUAAACCCCUUUCAGCAGGGAAGAAGCGAAAGUGACGUUACCUGCAGAAGAAGCGCCGGCUAACUACGUGCCAGCAGCCGCGGUAAUACGUAGGGCGCAAGCGUUGUCCGGAAUUAUUGGGCGUAAAGAGCUCGUAGGCGGUUCGUCGCGUCUGCUGUGAAAGCCCGAGGCUCAACCUCGGGUCUGCAGUGGGUACGGGCGGACUAGAGUGUGGUAGGGGAGACUGGAAUUCCUGGUGUAGCGGUGGAAUGCGCAGAUAUCAGGAGGAACACCAAUGGCGAAGGCAGGUCUCUGGGCCACAACUGACGCUGAGGAGCGAAAGCGUGGGGAGCGAACAGGAUUAGAUACCCUGGUAGUCCACGCCGUAAACGGUGGGCACUAGAUG